rnacentral:rRNA from 1 species
CGAACGGGUGAGUAACACGUGGGCAACCUGCCCAAAAGAGGGGGAUAACACUUGGAAACAGGUGCUAAUACCGCAUAACCAUAGUUACCGCAUGGUAACUAUGUAAAAGGUGGCUAUACUACCGCUUUUGGAUGGGCCCGCGGCGCAUUAGCUAGUUGGUAGGGGUAAAGGCUUACCAAGGCAAUGAUGCGUAGCCAAAUUGAGAGGUUGAUCGGCCACAUUGGGACUGAGACACGGCCCAAACUCCUACGGGAGGCAGCAG